UACGUAGGGUGCAAGCGUUAAUCGGAAUUAUUGGGCGUAAAGCGCGUGUAGGCGGUUUUUUAAGUCUGAUGUGAAAGCCCUGGGCUCAACCUGGGAAGUGCAUUGGAUACUGGAAGACUUGAGUACGGGAGAGGGUAGUGGAAUUCCGAGUGUAGGAGUGAAAUCCGUAGAUAUUCGGAGGUACACCGGUGGCGAAGGCGGCUACCUGGACCGAUACUGACGCUGAGACGCGAAAGCGUGGGGAGCAAACAGG
rnacentral:rRNA from 1 species